rnacentral:rRNA from 1 species
UACGUAGGGUGCAAGCAUUAAUCGGAUUUAUUGGGCGUAAAGGGCGCGUAGGCGGAAGUUUAAGUCAGAUGUGAAAUCCCGGAGCUCAACUCCGGAACAGCAUUUGAAACUGAUCAUCUAGAGGGUAGGCGGAGAAAAUGGAAUUCCACAAGUAGCGGUGAAAUGCGAUAGAUAUGAUGGAAGAACACCAGUGGCGAAGGCGAUUUUCUAGCUUACACCUGACUGCUGAUGCGCGAAAGCAAGGGGAGCAAACAGGG